rnacentral:rRNA from 1 species
CUAAAUACUACCCAGUGACCGAUAGCGUAUAGUACUGUGAAGGAAAGGUGAAAAGCACCCCGGGAGGGGAGUGAAAAAGAACCUGAAACCCUGUGCCUACAAGCACCUAGAGCACGUCAAUGUGUGAUAGGGUACUUUUUGUAGAACGGUCCGGCGAGCGAUUGUAUGCAGCAAGGUUAAGGACUUAAGGUCUGGAGCCGAAGCGAAAGCGAGUUUGAAAAGGGCGUUAAGUUGCAUACAAUGGGCCCGAAACCGGGUGACCUACCCAUGGUCAGGUUGAAGUGGAAGUAAAAUUCCAUGGAGGACCGAACCGACCUCCGUUGAAAAGGCGGCGGAUGAACUGUGGGUAGCGGAGAAAUUCCAAUCGAACCCGGAGAUAGCUGGUUCUCCCCGAAAUAGUUUUAGGACUAGCCUCAAGUUAGAUACCUGGAGGUAAAGCACUGAAUAGCCUAGCGGCCGAGAGGUUAGCGAAGCUUAUCAAACUCAGAAUGCCAGAGUAUUGAUGCUUGGGAGUCAGACAGUGUCAGAUAAAUGUCAUUGUCAAAAGGGAAACAGCCCAGAUCUACAGCUAAGGUCCCAAAGUCAGGUUAAGUGGAAAACGAUGUGAAGAUACGUAGACAACCAGGAUGUUGGCUCAGAAGCAGCCACACAUUCAAAGAGUGCGUAAUAGCUCACUGGUCGAGCGUCUUUGCGCGGAGAAUUUAACGGGGCUAAACCUGACACCGAAGCUUAGGCAAUACAGCAAUGUAUUGGGUAGGGGAGCGUUGUAUACGCGGUGAAACAGUAGCGCAAGCGGCUGUGGAGUGUAUAGAAGUGAGAAUGCCGGAAUGAGUAGCGCGAAUGCAGUGAGAAUCUGCAUGGCCGAAAGCCUCAGGUUUCUGGAGGAAGGUUCGUCCGCUCCAGGUUAGUCGGGAGCUAAGGUGAGGCCUAACGGCGUAGCCGAUGCACAGACGGUAGAGAUUCCGUCACCACCAAAAGAGUUAAACACAGGGACACAUUUGAAGUCUCGGAGCCGGGUGUUGGUUCCGGUAGCGAUCGAGGGAAGUUAGUACCGAAGUCCGGGAUGGAAGAUGGCGAGAAAAGCUGUGUGUAUUUCUGCGGUGCCCGUACCGCAAACCGACACAGGUAGGUAGGAAGAAGAUUCUAAGGCCAACGGGAGAAGGGUUGUUAAGGAACUCGGCAAAUUGACCCCGUAACUUCGGGAGAAGGGGUGCUCCAGAGAUGGAGCCGCAGAGAAUCGGCCCAAGCAACUGUUUACCAAAAACACAGGUUUGUGCUAAAUCGAAAGAUGACGUAUACGAGCUGACGCCUGCCCGGUGCUGGAAGGUUAAGAGGAGAUGUGCAAGCAUUGAAUCGAAGCCCCAGUGAACGGCGGCCGUAACUAUAACGGUCCUAAGGUAGCGAAAUUCCUUGUCAGGUAAGUUCUGACCCGCACGAAAGGCGUAAUGAUUUGGGCACUGUCUCAACAGCCCGCCCGGCGAAAUUGUAGUACCGGUGAAGAUGCCGGUUACCCGCGACAAGACGGAAAGACCCCAUGGAGCUUUACUGUAGCCUAAUAUUGGGUUUCGAUGUUGCAUGCACAGGAUAGAUGGGACACUGGGAAGCAAGUGCUUUGGCAUUUGUGGAGUGGCCGUUGGGAUACCAUCCUUGCGAUAUUGGAAUUCUAACCUGCGCCUUUGAAUCAAGGCGGGGGACAUUGUUAGGUGGGCAGUUUGACUGGGGCGGUCGCCUCCUAAAGAGUAACGGAGGCGUUCAAAGGUUCGCUCAGCUUGAACGGAAAUCAAGCAAAAGAGUGCAAACGCAGAAGCGAGCCUAACUGCGAGACUGACGGGUCGAGCAGUAACGAAAGUUGGAGUUAGUGAUCCGGUGGUAUGUGAGUGGAAAUGCCAUCGCUCAACGGAUAAAAGCUACCCUGGGGAUAACAGGCUGAUCUCCCCCAAGAGUCCACAUCGACGGGGAGGUUUGGCACCUCGAUGUCGGCUCAUCGCAUCCUGGGGCUGUAUUCGGUCCCAAGGGUUUGGCUGUUCGCCAAUUAAAGCGGUACGCGAGCUGGGUUCAGAACGUCGUGAGACAGUUCGGUCCCUAUCUGUCGUGGGC